AUUAGCUGGUUCAGGUGUAUUUGAUUGGGGUUGGAGCUGAAAUAUGUAGGACGGUAGCUCUCCAGGAGCAGGGUUGGAGACCCCUGCCCUAUGGUUUCGUGGACUUAACGGACACGCGGACGCCGCGGCCAUUCUCUCCACAGGUGAUCUUGAGCUCCAUGUGAUCCAGAACUGAUGGGCUUUUGUCAGCCUCGAUGCUAAGGGCUUUUCUGGUCUGCCUAAAGAAGCUUUACAACUCAUCAUAACUGUGAUAACCAGCAGAGUGGCUCUCUGCUGGCCUGGAAGUUGUGAGGCAAGAUUCUGGAUGGGUCCUUUGGAUGAGAUAUAUGGAGUCUGCACAGAGAAUGAUACAGAGCCUGCAGCAGGUUGAAUAUUUGGAAGUAAAAAACAAACUGAGGGGACAAAUAGAACUCCAACAGCUAAUGAAGAAGAAAGUUGCACUAGAAAUGGUGGCUGCACAAGGAACUUCAGACUGGCUUUGAGCUUUAUUCCGGGCAUCGGUGAAGAUGAAGUACUGAGUUGUAUGGUUGUCUGCUCUGCCAAUGACAAACUCCAGCAUCUCCCUAUCACCCUGAAGAAUGAUACGUGCGUUCUCCUCCUGAUACUGGUCAGAGUGCUGCAGCAAGUGCUGAAAACACGUGAGCAGAUCUUUCCUCAUUUCUUCACUCUUCUCCAGGUGUGUCUUUGUCUUCAGGAUCUUCUCUAGGGGCAGCGUUUUGCCCAAGAAAAUUCUCUGGCGUGGAGGGUGUGCAGGGGCUGAUGAGUGCUGUACAUGAGGUGCAGGUCUCCACAGGUGAUCUUGAGCUCCAUGUGAUCCAGAACUGAUGGAUUAUUUUCAGCCUUCGCUGCUCAGGACUUUUUUAGCCUGCUCAAAGCAGCUUUCCAACUCAUCAUGACAGUGAUGUCCAGCAAAGUGGCUAUCUGCCAGGCUGGAGGUUGUGAGUCGAGAUUCCAGAUGGGUCCUUUGGAGGAGCUGUGGCCCCUUUGAGCCCAGAUGUACCAUGUAGGACAGGGCAGGUGUUCUGGUGGUGAUACGCACCAGGUGGCGCUCUCCUUCCAGUGUUAGAGAGAUGUCACACCGCUUGGAUGCAGGAAAGGCCUCCAGGGCUCGGAUUGAAAAGUCAAGAUUGGUUUUCAGGUGCGAGUUCAGCAAUCCUUCCUGACGGAUUUUCCAUUUCACAGAGAGAAGGCAGUCCAGAUCAAGAGAGGGUAGAGUGAAAUAUCUCCUUUUGGGAAGAAAUAAACAAAUGAGCAUUGAUUGUAUGGAAAAUAUAUGGUAACCUUAGAAAGAAUAAAUA